CUACGGGGCGCAGCAGUCGAGGAAAUUUUUCAAUGCCCGCAAGGGUGAACGAGUAAGCCAGAGUGUUUUCUUUACGAAAACUUUUGUCUGUUGUAAAAAGACAGACGAAUAAGGACUGGGCAAGACCGGUGCCAGCCGCCGCGGUAAUCCCGGCGGUCCAAGUCGCAUCCACAUUUAUUGGGUCUAAAACAUCCGUAGCUUGUUUUGUAAGUCUCUUGUGAAAUUUUAUAUCUCAAAUAUAAAGCGUGCAAGAGAUACUACAUUGCUAGAGACCGGGAGACGCAAAGAGUACGACGGAGGUAGCGGUAAAAUGUGUUAAUCUCUGCCGGACUAACAAUGGCGAAGGCACUUUGCGAGUACGGAUCUGACAGUGAGGGAUGAAGGCUAGGGGCGCAAAAGGGAUUAGAUACCCUAGUAGUC
rnacentral:rRNA from 1 species